rnacentral:lncRNA from 1 species
GGCUGGGAAAAGGAUGAUGAGAACAACAUUAUUUUCUUGUGGUCUUAGUUGUUGAUGAUGAUAAGUCAUGAAAGUGACGAGUUUUCGAACCUUGGCCUUCUUGGACAUGACGUUGGAGGAUAUGCUAGCCAUGACAUUGUAGGGCGACGUGGCAAAUUAAAAGUGGUCGAAGGUAAGGUACCAGAUGGGGUGUAUCACGCCUGAUGUGCACAUCUAUGGUGGCAUUUUUGUCACCACCUCCACUUUCCUAGAACGUUGUUCCCAUGUGCAAGGGUUGGAAAAUGAAAAGAAAGAACAUGGCUAGGGUUUUGACAAUAGAAUUAGAAAAGAGAGAAUUAGAAAGAGGUGUGUUGUAUGUGCUUGCUUUAGAGGGAAAGGCCAUAUUAUUCUGUUUCCCACUGUGUGCAAACACACUCACUCCUCACUCUCUCGUGU